CCAAUUAAUUGAAAAAAAAAGAAAGGUAAAUCGACAACGAUUUUAUUAUUAUUUUCCUCGGGUAUCUUGAUAUCAUUUCUCUUAUUUAGUAACAAAUUUUAUUUAACAUGGCUGAAAGCAAAGACAGGUACUGCCUUGACAUAAUCCACUUGCUGCUUUAUGUCGAACACAAAAGCUAAAACAUUUUUGGUCAGUACAAUUGGGCAUUUUUACAGGUUUCGCACAAACCCUCCCCUCCGCUGCUGGCUCUACCCUGCCUUCAUUUCCUGUAGAGAAGAAAUUUAUCCAUAGUCAUUAAAUUUGAUUGCUCACUCUCACAGUGAUUAUGGAUGUGAAGCAAUUAACCACAGAUAUCGGUGAGGGUAAAUUCUCCUUUGAUUUAUGGGAUUUGGGAAAAUUGCUCAUUUAACCUCCUGUAUUUCAAUAAUGACUCAGAACGUCAUAUUGUUAUUUCGAUCAUUGUUAGAUCCAAUUAACUUUUCAAUGAUAAAUUGGUAAUUUAUGUUUGAAACAACCUAAAAGGGUAAAAUACACCUUAGACUCUAAAGUUUGUGUCAACUACUCAAGUAGUACAUGUAUUUUUAAAAAUUAUUAUAAAUACUUUUGUCAUUACUUCUAUAGUUAUUGGACAUAAUUUUUCAAAGUUAAAAGAGUAUUUUUUUUAAUUAUAUAAAUAAAAGUUUAUAUAAAUUAGAUACGCUACAAAUAAAAAUAGAGAAUAAUUAAGUAAAAUUUAAUGGAAACAUAUUUAUAAUAGAGUUUUGUGGAUAAGUUUUUAAAAUAUAAGGACUAACUUUAUAUUUAGCUCAAAUUUUAAGGACCAACGGAGCAUUUAUCCAUCCUAACAGUUGCACAAAUCUUAAAUACACGUAAAAGAAGAAUAUUGUCAUAAGUAAAAUUUAAUGAAAAUAUGUACACAUGCAACCAGGAUGUUUGGGGGAUUUUAAAAAAUAUAGUGAUUAAUUGGGCAAUUAGAAUAGGUUUAAAUUAUAAUGAUUAAAUAAGCAUUUAUCUAACAUAAAAUUCAACAAAUCCGACAUGGAAUAAGUGAAAAAUAAUUAAAAUCUAUUUAAUAGGAAAAGUAAUACAACAAGAUCAUUUUGAGUGAUUUUUUUAAAAAUGCAUGGACUAACUAUGUAAUUGGUUCACACCUUAAGAGCAUAUUUUAUUGUGGGAUAAAAAAAACUUAGGAUUGCACUAUCUAAAGCAAAUCCUAUCGAAUGUUUGGUGAGUAGAAGUGCCUUGGGAUCACUUAUCCUUGAGCCCACCAUGUAGUCCUAAUUACAAAAGAAAAUUUGUCCUAUAGGGACCAUAGGAUUAGUUAGCAUAAAAUUAUAUUCCUAUAAUCUGAGUAUAAUUAAGAUAGGAAGAACAAUUUUGUAAGUAUAGACUUCAUGUAAAGUAAGAAUCUUAAAACAUAUACGUAAUAUAAAUGAAAUUUGCUCCCAGAGCCUAAUGAAACAUUGCUAAUGAAUUGCUAUAAAAAUGCUUACCAAGGGGGAAAAGAAGAACAAGCAUGAAUAUGAGAAAUAUAUUUAGGCUCUUCAUGAAUUCUGUAUCACUUUUUAUCACUCUUCAAAGUAGAAAAAUAUGUGAGAUUGAUGCAAUGGAACUAUCGAUAUUUAUACACAAAAAAAAUUGAUUCAUAGGAUGAGCAGAUCAACAAAUCCC
rnacentral:lncRNA from 1 species